CUACGUGCCACCAGCCGCGGUAAUACGUAGGUGGCGAGCGUUGUCCGGAUUUACUGGGCGUAAAGGGUGCGUAAGCGGAUGUUUAAGUGGGAUGUGAAAUCCCCGGGCUUAACCUGGGGGCUGCAUUCCAAACUGGAUAUCUAGAGUGCAGGAGAGGAAAGCGGAAUUCCUAGUGUAGCGGUGAAAUGCGUAGAGAUUAGGAAGAACACCAGUGGCGAAGGCGGCUUUCUGGACUGUAACUGACGCUGAGGCACGAAAGCGUGGGUAGCAAACAGGAUUAGAUACCCUGGUAGUCCACGCCGUAAACGAUGGAUACUAGGUGUAGGGGGUAUCAACUCCCCCUGUGCCGCAGUUAACACAAUAAGUAUCCCGCCUGGGGAGUACGGUCGCAAGAUUAAAACUCAAAGGAAUUGACGGGGGCCCGCACAAGCAGCGGAGCAUGUGGUUUAAUUCGAAGCAACGCGAAGAACCUUACCUGGACUUGACAUCCCUUGCAUAGCCUAGAGAUAGGUGAAGCCCUUCGGGGGCAAGGAGACAGGUGGUGCAUGGUUGUCGUCAG
rnacentral:rRNA from 1 species